CGUGGACAAGCCCCGUGCGAAGAAGUCCUUCCAGUGCGGCUACCAAGGCUGCGAGCGAGUCUUCAGGAAGAAGUCGGCCCUGCGGGCCCACUGGCCCGAGCACAGCAAGGUGCUGCCGUUCGCGUGCCAGGAGCCCGGCUGCACCAGGAAGUUCGCCAGCGCGGCCAAGAGGAGAGAGCACCAGAGGAGACACGCUG